rnacentral:rRNA from 1 species
UACGGAGGGUGCAAGCGUUGUCCGGAAUCACUGGGCGUAAAGGGCGCGUAGGCGGCUCAUGAAGGCUGUGGUGAAAGUCCGGGGCUCAACCUCGGAUCGGCCGUGGCGACUCGUGGGCUGGAGCACUGUAGAGGCGGGUGGAAUUCCGGGUGUAGCGGUGGAAUGCGUAGAGAUCCGGAAGAACACCGGUGGCGAAGGCGGCCUGCUGGGCAGUUUUGCUGACACUGAGGCGCGACAGCGUGGGGAGCAAACAGG